UGCUCCAUGACAGUCAUAGCUUGCAUAUUUUCCUUUCUCGACGGUGAAAGGAAGAGAUAGAGCGAAGACUGCCAUUCCUAUUUCUUUUGGGGUGUUGGAGUUCUUCCUAGUGUGAAAUCCUCGAGGGUUUUGAUGGAGUUUC